UACGGGGGGGGCAAGCGUUGUUCGGAAUUACUGGGCGUAAAGGGCGCGUAGGCGGCUUUAUAAGUCGGGGGUGAAAGCCUGUGGCUCAACCACAGAAUUGCCUUCGAUACUGUAGAGCUUGAGACCGGAAGAGGUAAGUGGAACUGCGAGUGUAGAGGUGAAAUUCGUAGAUAUUCGGAAGAACACCAGUGGCGAAGGCGACUUACUGGACGAUUGUUGACGCUGAGGUGCGAAAGCGUGGGGAGCAAACAGG
rnacentral:rRNA from 1 species